AAUCACGAGAAUGUGUAUUUGUUCUCGAAUCUGUCAUUGAGAGGAAAAGGAUUUAAUCCUUUUAAGAAAUAAAGUUUUUGAUCGGAAUACGAAUCAAACCGAAGGACCCUUUAACUAUUUAAGGGAUAAUAGAACGAAUCACACUUUUACCACUAAACUAUACCCGCUACAAUCCGAUUAUUGUAUACAAAUGCAACUUUUGUCGAACAGGAAAAUUGUGGUAAUCAAGAUAGGAUAAGAUAGGGUCGUCACAGAAUCAAAUUAGAGUGUUGAUCUUUUUUCCUGGGGGGAUUCCAAU
rnacentral:lncRNA from 1 species